AGCAGCCGCGGUAAUCCCAGCUCCAAUAGCGUAUAUUAAAGUUGUUGCAGUUAAAAAGCUCGUAGUUGAAUUUCGGGAUCAAUGUUUCGGUCAUGCCCUUGGUAUGUACUGAUAUUAUUGGUUUCUCACCUUCUAAAGAACCGUAAUGCCAUUAAUUUGGUGUCACGGGGAAUUAGGACUGUUACCUUGAAAAAAUUAGAGUGUUUAAAGCAGGCUCACGCUUGAAUACAUUAGCAUGGAAUAAUGAAAUAGGACAUCCGAUUCUAUUUUGUUGGUUUCUAGGAUCGAUGUAAUGAUUAAUAGGGAUAGUUGGGGGCAUUAGUAUUCAAUUGUCAGAGGUGAAAUUCUUGGAUUUAUUGAAGACUAACUACUGCGAAAGCAUUUGCCAAGGAUGUUUUCAUUAAUCAAGAACGAAAGUUAGGGGAUCGAAGACGAUCAGAUACCGUCGUAGUCUUAACCAUAAACAAUGCCGACUAGGGAUCGGAUGAUGUUAAUUUUUUAAUGUCUCA
rnacentral:rRNA from 1 species